GUCCGCCCCGCCACCGGGGAUCCCGUCGGCCUUCCCUUCAAAGCAGAGAACAAGCACUUGGAUCCCCACAAGACCACAAGAGUCUUUGGCGGCUAGUCUGCAGCAACCAAGUGAAUCGGGUCCUACGGCUCAAGGUCCUUGCUGGGCACCGCCUGCUUGCAUCGGUGACUCUACAUCACCUUGGUACAUGGCUGGCAAUAUGGACUACUCUGAUCCACAAGUAUGGGGAGUGGAUUCUCACCCACCUGGUGGUUACCUUAGUUACUUUCAGAACACGGCAUUGAUUGCUAGGAAGUAUUGAUUGCAUGCAUUGGCGAUGGGAGAAGUGUCCUCUUGCAUGGAGGGGGCAAUUCACCCGCGGCGAUUAUGGAGUACCAACGAUGAUCCUAGAAGCUGUUGCUUCCCAGGACCUUCGUAUUUGGCAUGCUUUUUUUGGAGUUGCUGGGUCAAAUAAUGAUCUGAAUGUGCUCAAUCAAUCCCCACUGUUUUUUGAUGCACUGAAAGGAGAAGCCCCUCAAGUCCAAUUUUCUGUCAAUGGGAAUGAGUAUACCACAGGUUACUACCUUGCUGAUGGUAUAUACCCAGAAUGGGCUGCCUUCAUGAAGACUAUACCACUUCCCCAAAUAGAGAAGCACAAGUUGUUUGCCCAGAAGCAAGAAGGGGCAAGGAAAGAUGUCGAGCGCGCUUUUGGGGUAUUACAGUUCCGUUUUACCAUUGUCCGUCGGCCUGCACGUCUAUGGAAGAGAAAGAGUGUUGGAAGGAUCAUGAGGGCUUGUGUGAUUCUCCACAAUAUGAUAAUCGAAGAUGAGAGAGAGCAGGCAAAAAUUCAUAUUGACUUGAAUGAGAUUCCGGGGGCUUCAUUUGCUCCACCUCCCGAAGUGAAUGUUGGUGGUAAUCUAUGUUUCGCAGAUGUGUUGCGUAGAAAAGCUACUAUUCGUGCUCGUCCACAGCAUGCCCAACUUAAAAGUGAUUUAGUCGAGCAUA